UCUUCCUACGGGGGGCAGCAGUGGGGAAUAUUGCACAAUGGGGGAAACCCUGAUGCAGCGACGCCGCGUGAGUGAAGAAGUAAUUCGUUACGUAAAGCUCUAUCAGCAGGGAAGAGAAUGACGGUACCUGAGUAAGAAGCCCCGGCUAACUACGUGCCAGAAGACGCGGUAAUACGUAGGGGGCAAGCGUUAUCCGGAUUUACAGGGGGUAAAGGGAGCGUAGACGGCAGAGAAAGUAUGAAGGGAAAGGCAGGGGCUCAACGGCGGAACGG
rnacentral:rRNA from 1 species